CAUAUUAUACAUGUAUAUUGUAUAAUAUGAUGGGUAUAUGUAUGAAGAAUCGGUUCAUUGAAUAAAAUGCUUAGGCAAGGUAAUGUAAUUUAAACAUGCAGUCAAGCAUAAAAAUUUGGUCACUUUCCCAGUGUAAUGGCCUGGGGUAUAUAAUUAUAUUUUGGCCAAAUGUCCCUUGUGUCUUUUAAUUUCAUUGGAGUUUUAGUUUGUCUUAUGUCAUUGGAUUGGUCUUGGAGAUUUUCCCUCCAAGAGUUCUGUUCUUUGUGGUCAGUCUUUAUUCAGUUUUUGAAGAAGAGAGUUGAUUUCAGUAGAUCUGACAUAUUUUGACAAUUAGACAUAGACCGACAUUUUUCCUCUUGAAUGGUAAGUUAAUAAUUUAUUACUAAUGCUAAUCUAUUCUAUAAUUCCUUUACUAAAUGUUAAAUCUGUAAUUUUGCAUAAAAUUCCUUUUGUUGCCACAUUCCUGGAAUAAAUGAUCAGUGAAAGUGAGACUUAUAUAAUGUAAAUAUCUGUGAUAGUAAUGUAUAUGAUUCGUCUCACUGUGAUAUUAUUUUAAAGUAAAAGUAUGUUUUAUGACUUACAAGAUAUUGUAGAUAUCAUAAUUAAUUUAUAGAUCAGACCAGUUUGGUGUCAUCUGUAAAUAUUGUUCACUCGAGCCUAUUCCCAUAGAAUGGGUUUCAUCAUUGGACAAUUCGUGCAUUGGUAACUCCUGAAUAAACGUCUUGUCGAGAACCCAAACAGGUGUUCCUGUUAUUACUUAAGGGAAAGAGAAACCUGUUACAAUACAAUAUAAUAUUCAUCAUCGAUCAAUACCGGGAAAUAGCUACAUGUAUUUAUAUUUCAGCAGAAUCAACAGAACUUCUGAAUGCAAUUAUGUUAUAGAAUUUCGUUUUUAUCGUUUGUAAGCAAAAUGUCCUUGAAAAAGCGUGAAAUUGACAAGUACUUAAGAAAUCCUAGCAUAUCAUCUCAUAACAGAAACCCGUCUCAAGAGGGGGUCUGACGUCAUAGGAGACUUGCUCUCUUCAUACCUAUUAACAUUACGCAAGGCCGAUGUUACAAGAUAGCGAAAAAGGAAGUUAAAGUUUGCGUGAAUCAGAGAACGCGCUUCAAUGGUUAAAGGCGUUCGGACAGGGACUAUACGAGUGAACGUAAGCGCUUCCAAUCCUUGUGUGAAAACUUGUUGAUUCGCAUUGUGUUUUUCAACCGAGGGUGGGUGAUGGUGUUAAACAGCGAUGGACCGAUAUCCUGUAGUCGGUGAAUGUAUAUAUGUGACUUAUCGCGUUGGUAACCAGCAAAAACAAGUGGUUCUUUGGUCAAGAAGAGAUCCGUUCCCAUGUGUACACACAUAAAUAUUAAAAUGUAAUGAC